AGCUUUCUGUAUCCAUGCUGAGAUUCCAUCAAUAUUCAUUCGACUAGGGUAGAUGCAACUUUCCAAAUACAUGAAGUG
rnacentral:pre_miRNA from 1 species